rnacentral:rRNA from 1 species
UAGAGUUUGAUCCUGGCUCAGGACGAACGCUGGCGGCGUGCCUAAUACAUGCAAGUCGAGCGGACAGAAGGGAGCUUGCUCCCGGAUGUUAGCGGCGGACGGGUGAGUAACACGUGGGUAACCUGCCUGUAAGACUGGGAUAACUCCGGGAAACCGGAGCUAAUACCGGAUAGUUCCUUGAACCGCAUGGUUCAAGGAUGAAAGACGGUUUCGGCUGUCACUUACAGAUGGACCCGCGGCGCAUUAGCUAGUUGGUGAGGUAACGGCUCACCAAGGCGACGAUGCGUAGCCGACCUGAGAGGGUGAUCGGCCACACUGGGACUGAGACACGGCCCAGACUCCUACGGGAGGCAGCAGUAGGGAAUCUUCCGCAAUGGACGAAAGUCUGACGGAGCAACGCCGCGUGAGUGAUGAAGGUUUUCGGAUCGUAAAGCUCUGUUGUUAGGGAAGAACAAGUGCAAGAGUAACUGCUUGCACCUUGACGGUACCUAACCAGAAAGCCACGGCUAACUACGUGCCAGCAGCCGCGGUAAUACGUAGGUGGCAAGCGUUGUCCGGAAUUAUUGGGCGUAAAGGGCUCGCAGGCGGUUUCUUAAGUCUGAUGUGAAAGCCCCCGGCUCAACCGGGGAGGGUCAUUGGAAACUGGGAAACUUGAGUGCAGAAGAGGAGAGUGGAAUUCCACGUGUAGCGGUGAAAUGCGUAGAGAUGUGGAGGAACACCAGUGGCGAAGGCGACUCUCUGGUCUGUAACUGACGCUGAGGAGCGAAAGCGUGGGGAGCGAACAGGAUUAGAUACCCUGGUAGUCCACGCCGUAAACGAUGAGUGCUAAGUGUUAGGGGGUUUCCGCCCCUUAGUGCUGCAGCUAACGCAUUAAGCACUCCGCCUGGGGAGUACGGUCGCAAGACUGAAACUCAAAGGAAUUGACGGGGGCCCGCACAAGCGGUGGAGCAUGUGGUUUAAUUCGAAGCAACGCGAAGAACCUUACCAGGUCUUGACAUCCUCUGACAACCCUAGAGAUAGGGCUUUCCCUUCGGGGACAGAGUGACAGGUGGUGCAUGGUUGUCGUCAGCUCGUGUCGUGAGAUGUUGGGUUAAGUCCCGCAACGAGCGCAACCCUUGAUCUUAGUUGCCAGCAUUCAGUUGGGCACUCUAAGGUGACUGCCGGUGACAAACCGGAGGAAGGUGGGGAUGACGUCAAAUCAUCAUGCCCCUUAUGACCUGGGCUACACACGUGCUACAAUGGACAGAACAAAGGGCUGCGAGACCGCAAGGUUUAGCCAAUCCCACAAAUCUGUUCUCAGUUCGGAUCGCAGUCUGCAACUCGACUGCGUGAAGCUGGAAUCGCUAGUAAUCGCGGAUCAGCAUGCCG